AUUGAACGCUGGCGGCAUGCUUUACACAUGCAAGUCGAACGGCAGCGCGGGCUUCGGCCUGGCGGCGAGUGGCGAACGGGUGAGUAAUGCAUCGGAACGUGCCCAGUAGUGGGGGAUAGCCCGGCGAAAGCCGGAUUAAUACCGCAUACGACCUGAGGGUGAAAGCGGGGGACGGAAAGGCCUCGCGCUAUUGGAGCGGCGGAUGUCGGAUUAGCUAGUUGGUGGGGUAAAGGCUUACCAAGGCGACGAUCCGUAGCUGGUCUGAGAGGACGACCAGCCACACUGGGACUGAGACACGGCCCAGACUCCUACGGGAGGCAGCAGUGGGGAAUUUUGGACAAUGGGGGCAACCCUGAUCCAGCCAUGCCGCGUGCGGGAAGAAGGCCUUCGGGUUGUAAACCGCUUUUGUUCGGGAAGAAAUCCUCUGGGCUAAUACCCCGGGGGGAUGACGGUACCGGAAGAAUAAGCACCGGCUAACUACGUG
rnacentral:rRNA from 1 species